rnacentral:rRNA from 1 species
GAUAACGGCGUCGAGCGGCGGACGGGUGAGUAAUGCCUGGGAAAUUGCCCUGAUGUGGGGGAUAACCAUUGGAAACGAUGGCUAAUACCGCAUAAUAGCUUCGGCUCAAAGAGGGGGACCUUCGGGCCUCUCGCGUCAGGAUAUGCCCAGGUGGGAUUAGCUAGUUGGUGAGGUAAUGGCUCACCAAGGCGACGAUCCCUAGCUGGUCUGAGAGGAUGAUCAGCCACACUGGAACUGAGACACGGUCCAGACUCCUACGGGAGGCAGCAGUGGGGAAUAUUGCACAAUGGGCGCAAGCCUGAUGCAGCCAUG